rnacentral:rRNA from 1 species
CACGUAGGGGGCAAGCGUUGUCCGGAUUUAUUGGGCGUAAAGAGCUCGUAGGUGGUUCGGUAAGUCGGGUGUUAAACCCCCAGGCUCAACCUGGGGACGCCACUCGAUACUGCUGUGACUAGAGUCCGGUAGGGGAGCGUGGAAUUCCUGGUGUAGCGGUGAAAUGCGUAGAUAUCGAGAGGAACACUAGUGGCGAAGGCGAGAUCCUGGACAGUAUCUGACACUGAUGCACGAAGGUCAGGGGAGCAAACGGG